UCUCCGUAGGUGAACCUGCGGAGGGAUCAUUACAGAGUUCAUGCCCUACCGGGUAGGUCUCCCACCCUAUGUUAUAUUACUUUGUUGCUUUGGCGGGCCGUUAGGCUCCGGCCCGACUACCGGCCCCGGCUGGUAAGCGCCCGCCAGAGGACCCAAAACCCUGAAUAUUAGUGUCGUCUGAGUACUAUAUAAUAGUUAAAACUUUCAACAACGGAUCUCUUGGUUCUG
rnacentral:misc_RNA from 1 species